GGGGAUGAAGGGAGGGAGAGAAGGGCUUCAACACUCGUGUUUGGACACAAGCAAUUAUCUCUAAUUAUUGUUUUUCUUUUCAGUUUCCCUGUCCUGAUGGAGGUCCGACCAAACGAACAUGCAAUAAUCCGCCCCAGUCGUCCAGGCUCAGCGGGCCCCAGAGCUGCAGCCCUCGGUCCCGGGACUCCAUGGCCUUUCAUCUCAAUUGUGGAAAGAACCAACGCUUGCACGUGGACACACUCCAGUGAAAACACGAAGCCCAAAAACAACAAAAGUGUUUCUUUUAAACUUCUUCAAACCCCAGUCUUCCAAUAAAAGCUGAACAAACAUACCCUGCCACUUGCAAGCAGAGCGGCUGCUGUCCGGAGAUCAUGAAGAGGGUGGUCAGGUUGGUGCAUCAUGUCACUGACCAAUCUUACUGCUCCUUGCUCUCUGUGACUGCAAUAGUGGAAGAGUCAGUGGAAGGGUCGGUGGGAUAUCUCUGUUUUUUGCUUAAAUGUCUUACUCAUUUCGGCCACGGAGAACGAAAGCCCACAGUCCUCGGGAGCGGCCCGCAUCAUCUUGUGUCUGAGUCGUUGAAUUGAGACCCAUUUUCCGGAUUGACUGACCUUCAUGUCUUAAAGUAAUGAUGGACUGUUGUUUGUCUUUGCUUAUUUGAGCUGUUCUUGCCAUUAAAUGGACUUGGUCUUUUACCAAAUAGGCCUAUCUUCUGUAUACCACCCCUACCUUGUCACAACACAACUGAUGCUCAAACGCAUUAAAAAGGAAAGAAAUUCCCCAAAUGUACUUUUAACAAGGCACAACUGUUAAUUGAAAUGCAUUCCAGGUGACUAACUCAUGAAGCUGGUUGAGAGAAUGCCAAGAGUGUGCAAAGCUAUCAUCAAGGCAAAGGGUGGCUACUUUGAAGAAUCUCAAAUAUAAAAUAUAUUUUGAUUUGUUUAACACUUUUUGGUUUACUACAUGAUUCCAUGUGUGUUAUUUCAUAGUUUUGAUGUCUUCACUAUUAUUCUACAAUGUAGAAAAUAGUAAAAAUAGAGAAAAACCCUUGAAUGAGUAGGUGUGUCCAAACUUUUGACUGGUACUGUAUAUUAGAUAAAGAAGAAAAUCAUUGAAUAAAUGCCUUAUAGAUGACCAUUGGCUUAUAUAAUACCAUAUAACAACUACAUAUUUCAAAUUAAUGCAUUUCAAGUGUUCCCCUUGCCCACUUUAGACACAGUGCCUUCAGAAAGUAUCUACACUUCUUGACUUUUUCCACAUUUUGUUGUGUUACAGCCUGAAUUUAAAAUUUAUUAAAUUGAGAUUGUGUGUCGUUGAUCUUCACCAUCAUGUCAAAGUGGAAUUAUGUUUUUAGAAAUGUUUACAAAUUAAUAAAAUAUGAAAAUAUGAAA
rnacentral:lncRNA from 8 species